rnacentral:rRNA from 1 species
UACGUAGGGGGCAAGCGUUAUCCGGAUUUACUGGGUGUAAAUGGAGCGCAGACGGCUUGGCAAGUCUGAAGUGAAAGCCCGGGGCUUAACCCCGGGACUGCUUUGGAAACUGUGAAGCUAGAGUGUCGGAGAGGUAAGUGGAAUUCCCAGUGUAGCGGUGAAAUGCGUAGAUAUUGGGAGGAACACCGGUGGCGAAGGCGGCUUACUGGACGAUAACUGACGUUGAGGCUCGAAGGCGUGGGGAGCAAACAGG